rnacentral:lncRNA from 1 species
UCCUCCCUCAGCCUCCCAAGUAGCUGGCAUUACAGGUGUGUGCCAUCACGCCCAGCUAAUUUUUGUAUUUUUAGUAGAGACAGGGUUUCACCAUGUUGGCCAGACUGGUUACGAACUCCUGACCUCAAGUGAUCCACCUGCCUCGGCCUCCCAAAGUGCUGGGAUUACAGGCGUGAGCCACCACACCUGGCCAGAAAAGCCUUUUAAUCCCUGGGCAGACAUCAAGCUCAUGGUGACAGGUGCAACUUUCCAAAAUGCUAAUUUUUACUGAAAGCUCACUUUUAUCACUGGCAACAAAUAUUGUCUGCUGUUUUCCUCACAUGACAGGCUCACUUUGUUUCAAUUUUCCAAAAAGUAAUAUAGAGAGUCCAUGUUUCAGUUAUAAUUCCUUUUUUUUUUUUUUUAAGAUGGACUUUCACUGUCACCCAGGCUGGAGUACAGUGGUAUAAUCUCGGCCCACUGCAACCUUCGCCUCCCAGGUUCAAGCGAUUCUCCUCCCUCAGCCUCCUGAGUAGCUGGAAUUACAGGCACCCACCAGCAUGCACAGCUAAUUUUUGUAUUUUUAGUAGAGACGAGGUUUCACUAUGUUGGCCAGGCUGGUCUUGAGCUCCUGACCUCAAGUGAUCCACCCUCCUCGG